rnacentral:rRNA from 1 species
UAUAAUGCAGUCGAGCGAGCAAUUUUGACGGAAUACUUCGGUAGGAAGUCAGAAGCGCGAGCGGCGGAUGGGUGAGUAACACGUGGGCAACCUGCCCUUUAGCUUGGGAUACCACUUGGAAACAGGUGCUAAUACCAAAUAAGCAGCACGAGCGCAUGCUCAAGCUGAGAAAGGCGGCUUUCGAGCUGUCACUAAAGGAUGGGCCCGCGGUGCAUUAGCUAGUUGGUAAGGUAACGGCUUACCAAGGCGAUGAUGCAUAGCCGAGUUGAGAGACUGACCGGCCACAUUGGGACUGAGACACGGCCCAAACUCCUACGGGAGGCAGCAGUAGGGAAUCUUCCACAAUGGACGCAAGUCUGAUGGAGCAACGCCGCGUGAGUGAAGAAGGUUUUCGGAUCGUAAAGCUCUGUUGUUGGUGAAGAAGGACAAGGGUAGUAACUGAUUCUUGUUUGACGGUAAUCAACCAGAAAGUCACGGCUAACUACGUGCCAGCAGCCGCGGUAAUACGUAGGUGGCAAGCGUUGUCCGGAUUUAUUGGGCGUAAAGCGAACGCAGGCGGGAGAAUAAGUCAGCUGUGAAAGCCCCCAGCUUAACUGGGGAAGUGCAACUGAAACUAUUUUUCUUGAGUGCAGAAGAGGAGAGUGGAACUCCAUGUGUAGCGGUGGAAUGCGUAGAUAUAUGGAAGAACACCAGUGGCGAAGGCGGCUCUCUGGUCUGUAACUGACGCUGAGGUUCGAAAGCAUGGGUAGCGAACAGGAUUAGAUACCCUGGUAGUCCAUGCCGUAAACGAUGAGUGCUAAGUGUUGGGAGGUUUCCGCCUCUCAGUGCUGCAGCUAACGCAUUAAGCACUCCGCCUGGGGAGUACGACCGCAAGGUUAAAACUCAAAGGAAUUGACGGGGGCCCGCACAAGCGGUGGAGCAUGUGGUUUAAUUCGAAGCAACGCGAAGAACCUUACCAGGUCUUGACAUCUAGUGCCAGUCCUAGAGAUAGGAUGUUUCCUUCGGGAACACUAAGACAGGUGGUGCAUGGCUG